AAUUAGUUCUUAUUAAUUAUAACGAUUAUCAAUUAACAAUCAAUUCAGAACUGGCACGGACUUGGGGAAUCCGACUGUCUAAUUAAAACAAAGCAUUGUGAUGGCCCUAGCGGGUGUUGACACAAUGUGAUUUCUGCCCAGUGCUCUGAAUGUCAAAGUGAAGAAAUUCAAGUAAGCGCGGGUCAACGGCGGGAGUAACUAUGACUCUCUUAAGGAGGCUAUGACUCUCUUAAGGUAG
rnacentral:rRNA from 1 species